CCCUGCGUGGUAAAAAUGGCUAAUGCAUUCAGCUGCUAACUGAAAGGUUGGAGGUUUGAGUCCACCCAGAGGCA
rnacentral:tRNA from 1 species